AACGAACGCUGGCGGCAUGCCUAACACAUGCAAGUCGAACGAGAUCUUCGGAUCUAGUGGCGCACGGGUGCGUAACACGUGGGAAUCUGCCCUUGGGUUCGGAAUAACUCUCCGAAAGGAGUGCUAAUACCGGAUGAUGUCGAAAGACCAAAGAUUUAUCGCCCAGGGAUGAGCCCGCGUAGGAUUAGCUAGUUGGUGAGGUAAAGGCUCACCAAGGCGACGAUCCUUAGCUGGUCUGAGAGGAUGAUCAGCCACACUGGGACUGAGACACGGCCCAGACUCCUACGGGAGGCAGCAGUGGGGAAUAUUGGACAAUGGGCGAAAGCCUGAUCCAGCAAUGCCGCGUGAGUGAUGAAGGCCUUAGGGUUGUAAAGCUCUUUUACCCGGGAUGAUAAUGACAGUACCGGGAGAAUAAGCCCCGGCUAACUCCGUGCCAGCCGCCGCCGUAACAC
rnacentral:rRNA from 1 species